GCCAGUUCAGUCAACGAGACAAAGAGCUCACACACUGCAUUACUGUUAAUAAUAAAUCAUCGCACUCUACCACCUCCAUUGCUGCAGCGGGAGAAGAGGCAGGAGACAACAGACCCACAUAUCUUACCUGAAGCAUGAGACGCCUGGUGGUUAUAGUGGCUGUAUUAUUGGUGAUGGCUCGGCUGGGUGAAAAUCGCCGCUUGGAGCAGUCAGCCGUAGACGUCCACAACCACGACUACAUGGAAGAUAGUUUAACAGUCAAUGACAACUUGUUUUCACGACUCUUGAGGAAUGGCAUAUCCUACAUGCCAGUGAAGUGUAACGAGUGUGAGGCGUUGAGAAACGGUCGGUGUUACGAAGUAUCAGGCUGCCAAACUAGUCCUAUUUCGUUCCUCAAGUUCCUCCAGAAUUCACACGCUAUUCUCGUGUGAAUUCUGAAGAAUGAAAGAUCACUGCCUGUAUGAUGAGCGCCUGUCACACUCUUAAGUCAAAUAUGGAAAAUGAACAUUAAAUUACUGAUAUUUAUGUUGUGUUUAACUCAGUUGUGUGAUUAACCCCAUCUGUAUUAAUUAACUUAGUUGAAUGAUAACUAAGUCAAAGGUAUGAUUAUUUAGUUUAGUUAAAUGAUAAAUUAACUCUGCUGUAACAUUAGUCAACUCAACUCUAUGGCAUAUUAACUCACCUCUAUGGGUAUUUUACUGAAUCGUUUGAGUAGAUGAAUCUAUUAUAAUAACUCAUUUCAGUGAUCAGUUGACGAGGACUUAGAUUACCAUGAUUAAUUAUAUAUCUGUUUGUAAAAUAUAUUCACUGGUCUUUGUUUUGUAUCUAAUUAACUCACUUGUAUGAUCAGUUCCAUAGUUGUGUCAAGAUAUUGUACAAUAAGAUCGGUUCACUAAGUUGUAUUACCAAGUGCAUAAUUUGUUCGGGCACUUGUAUUACUAAAAUACAUUGUACGAUUUGC